rnacentral:rRNA from 1 species
CACGUAGGGUGCAAGCGUUGUCCGGAUUUAUUGGGCGUAAAGGGCCCGUAGGCGGUUUGAUAAGUCGGGUGUGAAAACUCCAGGCUCAACCUGGAGCCGCCACUCGAUACUGUCAUGACUUGAGUCUGGCAGGGGAGUGCGGAAUUCCUGGUGUAGCGGUGAAAUGCAUAGAUAUCAGGAGGAACACCGGUGGCGAAGGCGGCACUCUGGGCCAGUACUGACGCUGAGGGGCGAAAGCGUGGGGAGCGAACAGG